AGACAUUCCACUUUCCUCUCUUUUAAAGGUUGGGGUCUGGUCUGGGGAGAUAGUUCAGUAAGUGAGAGCACUGCUGCGCAGCACAUAGUCCUAAGUUGGAAUCCUCAGCAACCACUUAAAACUAUAUCAGGCAUGGCUGCACAUGCCUGUAACCACAAGAUGGAGAGGAGAGGGGAGAUACGUGGAACCCAAGAGCUCACUGUCUAAUCAGCCGAGCAGAAAUGGUGAGCUUGAAAUGGUGGACUUCUGUUUCAGAUCCAGCACUGUAGUGCCUCGUGGCAUCUGUGGGAUAUUUUCACCUCAGUCAACAAAGAAUCUCACCGGCUCUGCUCCAUCCCAUGUCACCGCCAAUGGCUUCUCUCUGAGCCCGACAACAAUCUCUCUGUCCAUCUAGUUCCCAAGGCAGGCUGCCACCAUGCCAGACAUACACAUCCCAAUUCCAUGGCGGCCCAGUGUGUCCAGCCGCCACACAUUCUCUUAAACUUAAUUAAAUCGCCACAUGAAAGAACACACAA